UACAGAGGUCCCAAGCGUUGUUCGGAUUCACUGGGCGUAAAGGGUGCGUAGGUGGCCAGGUAAGUUUGGUGUGAAAGCUCGGAGCUUAACUCCGAAAUGUCAUUGAAUACUAUCUGGCUGGAGGGUCGGAGGGGAGACUGGAAUUCUCGGUGUAGCAGUGAAAUGCGUAGAUAUCGAGAGGAACACCAGUGGCGAAGGCGAGUCUCUGGACGACUCCUGACACUGAGGCACGAAAGCCGGGGGAGCAAACAGG
rnacentral:rRNA from 1 species